rnacentral:sRNA from 1 species
UUUCCAAUCGAUUAUUAUUCAUCAUCUGAUAGAGUAUCUCGCAACAACUGAAUUCGGUUAAAAAUGAAUUUUCGUUAUAUUUCCAUUUUAAUUGUGGUGAUAUGGCUUUUAUGCCAAGGACCAAUUGUGGAAGCGUUUGUUGGUUUAAUUGCUGGCAUUGCUCGAGUGGCUGCGAGGGGCGCACGCAAUCAUGACCGAGCUGGGAAAGCAGGAAAGUAGGAAAAUAUAAUAAAGGGUCAUUGAAGGAAAUGUGCUGCAAAAUAGUUGCAAGAGUUAAAUAAAAAA